GACGAACGCUGGCGGCGUGCUUAACACAUGCAAGUCGAACGCUGAAGCUCAGCUUUUGUUGGGUGGAUGAGUGGCGAACGGGUGAGUAACACGUGAGUAACCUGCCCCCUUCUUUGGGAUAACGCCCGGAAACGGGUGCUAAUACUGGAUAUUCACUGGUCUUCGCAUGGGGGUUGGUGGAAAGGGUUUUUCUGGUGGGGGAUGGGCUCGCGGCCUAUCAGCUUGUUGGUGGGGUGAUGGCCUACCAAGGCUUUGACGGGUAGCCGGCCGGAGAGGGUGACCGGUCACAUUGGGACUGAGAUACGGCCCAGACUCCUACGGGGGGCAGCAGUGGGGAAGAUAGCACAAUGGGCGCAAGCCUGAUGCAGCGACGCCGCGUGAGGGAUGGAGGCCUUCGGGUUGUGAACCUCUUUCGCUCAUGGUCAAGCCGCAACAAUGGUUGUGGUGAGGGUAGUGGGUAAAGAAGCGCCGGCUAACUACGUG
rnacentral:rRNA from 1 species